GGUGGGUGGCCCCAUUCCCCAUUUGAAGGUAGAACUGGAUGGAAUAGAGAAUGACCAACAGUCCACUCCAGAAGCUCAACACGAGGCACUGGGCCUUUGGGAAGAUAUUUAUUGAGCACCUAUUGGGUGCCAUCAGUUUGCUCAGGAGCUUUGUAGAAGGAGCCCUGUAAGAGAUGCGUAUUCCAGGCGCACAGUCAGAAGCCAGCCAGACAAGCCCAGGAAGGAGUACUACAUUGAUUCAUGACCAGACCUGCCGAUUUCCCACUCAUCCUAAUCAUUCUUCUAAGGAGGGGCUCCAGAAACCCAAGAGAUUGAGAGACCUGGUCAGAAAUAGAUCUGGGUACAAAGGACACACUCAACAAGUGGUAGCUGUUGACCUCACUGUCACCAUUCCCAACAUCGUCCCCAGCUUUGCCAUCACCACCACCAUCAUUACCAGAGUUAUUGCCAAAAUUGUCAGCAGCAGCACCAACACAGUGAUCACCAUCUUCAUUAUUGCCAAGUCACUAUCCCCAUCAUCAUCAUCAUCACUAUCAUCCAAGAUUUCUCUUAGAUUAUCCACUUUCUUAGGUUGGGGAACCCUGUUUUCUCUGUUAUUGCAGACAAAAUGA
rnacentral:lncRNA from 1 species